rnacentral:misc_RNA from 1 species
ACCAAAAAGAAGAAGAAGAAGAAGGUUGUCAUACAGGAUAGCGCAGAUGAUUCUGUGGACAAGCUCACUGAGAAAACUGAAUCGAUAUCAGUCUCUGAUGGCCUUGAGAGUACAUUCGCUGGUUUGAAAAAGAAGAAGAAGAAGCCAGUAGAAACAAGUAUUUUGAAUGAAGAAAGUGUGGAUGCUGGAGAAGAUUUGGAUGAUCAUGUAGGGGAGGGUGAAGAAGGAGAAGGAAUUGAGCUGCAACAGCCGCUUUAUCCAUGGGAAGGGAGUGACCGUGAUUAUGAAUAUGAAGAGCUUCUUGGUAGGGUCUUCAACAUUUUGCGGGAGAACAAUCCAGAACUUGCUGGAGAUAG